UCCUACACCAUACCCACCUUUUACUCCAUACCCACCUUUUAAACCCAUUGAUCUCAUUUGCCUUUUGUUAUAAAUGAGUGGAUUAGCAGGAUAACAAUUUGCAUAUGGGGUGACUCAGAUUCACCAUUUUAAGACCUCUCUCUCUCUUCUUGGUGUGAGAUCAAGUCAUGAGAACUUGUACCUCCAAUCGGGCUAGCUAGUUGUGGCAGGAGAUCAGGAAGGUGUGUGUUGAGCAAGAUGGAGAAGCAGGGCACGUGCAUUACUAACUCAUGAGCGCACGCACCACUGAACAUACACAUGAUAUUUCUUGGCUGGAGUUAUAUAUAUACAUAUAUGAAUCUUUCCUUUAUUGAUUUAUUCACAGAUCAUGGUUUUCGAUCGUUCCUGUGAGUUAGUUCUUCAUGUGCCCGUCUUCCCCAUCAUGACCACAGCACCUUAUAUAUGUUUGUUGGCAUCAAGAGCCAGGAAUACUAUCCCAGAAAAGCAUCCUCCCUCGAAGAAUUGGUGGGAAACUCCGAUAUUUACAGAAGCUUCAAGUUUCGGGAAAUGCUGACUGUAUCUGAGCAAUCGAAAUCAAUGCAAUAUGAUUGACAGCAAAGUAACCUAAAGAAGGGAACAAGAUGAAGGGAGAGCAGACUGCAGCCGAUAAGGAUGCCUGAUAGCAAGUUUCAGCUAAUUUUGACGAGAGGUCCAAUUGAUUAUGGAAGGUAAAAGUGGUUCUGAUCUUCUCUUAAUUUUCAUUAUUUAUCACUUUUUUUCUUUUGCACUUAUUUUUCUUCAUCCUCCUUUUUUGGCCUACUAGAGAUUGUAGCUAGCGUUCUUUGGACUAUAAUGACGACUGUGAAUCAGCUAAGAGAUAUAUAUCUAGCAAAUAAAGGUACAUUUUUCCCGAGAAAAGUGAUUGGUGAUGGUCCUAUAUAGGCUAUUGGGCACCACCACCCAGGAGACAGUACAAAAAUUACUCUUUAUGUCUCUAUUGCAUCCUUUUCAGCUACAAUAAGUCUCCUUCUCAUGAUCCACGUUAGCGUGACACUGGAAAAAGUUACAUGCAUAGCAUCUACCUACCUCUAGCUCUAUCUGAUCUCUAACCCGCAUGUAAUUUUUCGUUUUGUUCCCAAUCAAAGAGUCUUUUUCUCUUUCUUUUUUCAACUCAAAGAUCGGAUCAGUUUGAAACUUAAUUUGAAGUUAGUUCACGUAUGCAGUUUUCA